rnacentral:rRNA from 1 species
UAGGGAAUCUUCGGCAAUGGGGGCGAACCCUGACCGAGCAACGCCGCGUGAGUGAAGAAGGUUUUCGGAUCGUAAAGCUCUGUUGUAAGAGAAGAACGUGUGUGAGAGUGGAAAGUUCACACAGUGACGGUAACUUACCAGAAAGGGACGGCUAACUACGUGCCGG